rnacentral:rRNA from 1 species
UACAGAGACCUCAAACGUUAUCCGGAAUCAUUGGGCGUAAAGCGUACCGAUAGGUGGUUUUACAAGUCAGAAGUGAAAUCUCUAAGCUUAACUUAGAGUCUGUCUUUUGAAACUGUAAAACUAGAGGGGCAAAGAGGAAGCUGGAACGAACGGUGUAGUAGUGAAAUGCGUUGAUAUCGUUCGGAACACCAAUAGCGUAGGCAGGCUUCUGGGUGCCACCUGACACUGCUAGGACGAAAGCGUGGGGAGCGAUAAGG